rnacentral:rRNA from 1 species
AUGGAGGACGGUGCAGAGCUAAGGAAGCAGCGGAGCUCUGAGCUCGGCUCCAUGGCGGUAGCUGCGAGCGGCGCCUGGAGGAAGCAGGGAAGCGACAACGGCGACCUUGGCGCGGAGGGAGGAGGUCCGGCGGUGGCCCAAGGGCGCAAGUCAACUGGGAGGCCGGAGAAGGGGAUGGAGCGUUGGGGAGCUCCUCUCCCUGGCGAAGGGAGGCGACGACAGGAAGAUGGAGGGGAUCGAGGGAGAGAAGAGCGAGGGAGAUGGGGCGCUGGGUCUGGCCUCUGGCGGCACGAGGGGAGAGGAUGA